CAGUCCUUAGUGGGUAAAACAGAAAACCUCCUAAACUGUCACAGGUCAAGGCAAGGAAAGGAGGGGGUGUCACGUGACUGUACCCCUAGCCAAUGGCGUCCCACCAUGCCUGACAGAUGUGCCUUAUAACAGGCUGGUCUCUCUUCCCUCCAGCUCAUAUAAGGUAAAAGAAAAAAGGUCUUUCCUCCCAGAUGGUAGCAGGGAAGCCCCUUGUCACAGAAGCUGCACAUACUAAAGGAAGUGCUUAUCCAAGGCAAGAGUCCCUCUCUGCUCUUCUCUUCAGUCAAGGGUUAAAUGUGUGGCCCCAAGUUUGCUCCUGGUAUGAAAAUUCUCUCUGGACAACGGGGCGUUCCUCCCUACUGUGAUGGAGUUACCAGCCCAACAUUUUCCGUGCCCCAGUGAAGAAGAUCUAUCCCAGAAAGCAGCAAGGCAACAUGUGAGACAUAAGGGAGAGCAGAUCUCAACUGGAAUUGUUAUCUAAUUUUAAGCGAAAAUGAGUAAUGGCAUCUCUAAACUUGUAAUUAAUUAUUUAAUAUUUUAAAGCAUCCAGUGACCAGGUGACUAAUUCCAGCUCCUUGUAUGGUUAUCCAGCUGGCUCAGAAUGUAAGAGCUGUAGGAUACUGAAGUACUCCUGGCAUCAGUUGCCUGCUUCACUGUUCCAAAUGAUGCUAUAUUGUGAUCAGAGAUCGGAACUACACAGUGAGGGGUAAUCUUGCCACAAAGAAA